AAUGAACGCUGGCGGCGCGCCUAAUACAUGCAAGUCGAGCGAGAAGACGUAGCAAUACGUUUGUAAAGCGGCGAACGGGUGAGGAAUACAUGGGUAACCUACCCUCGAGUGGGGAAUAACUAGCCGAAAGGUUAGCUAAUACCGCGUACGCUCCUUGGACUUCGGUUCAGGGAGGAAAGCGAUACCGUGGGUAUCGCGCUCUUGGUUGGGCUCAUGUCCUAUCAGCUUGUUGGUGAGGUAACGGCUCACCAAGGCUUCGACGGGUAGCUGGUCUGAGAGGACGAUCAGCCACACUGGCACUGCGACACGGGCCAGACUCCUACGGGAGGCAGCAGUAAGGAAUAUUGCGCAAUGGGCGAAAGCCUGACGCAGCGACGCCG
rnacentral:rRNA from 1 species